UCCAACUAAAAAAAACGAAAUCCCGCUUAGGCCCUUAAAAUUACCAACAAUCAGCAUUUAUCCAAUGGUCGCCAUCGCCACCUCCUUCUCCGCCGCCGCCGCCGUCGCCGUCGCCCGCCGGAGCUCCCCGGCUCACCUCCAGCUCGUCGCUCGCCGCCGCCUCCCGUUCUGCACCGCUGCCUCCUCUUCCUCCGCGCCCCCUGCUGCUGCGGCGGGCUUUGGGUGGGCCGACGCCCUCCGAGUUGCCAGCGAAUUCGGGGUCGGCGAUGAGUCCGACCUUUCGGGGUACUUCCGGAAGGUCGACAUCUGCAACCGAGGAAUGGGUAACAAGGGGGAGUUUGUGGAGUUCAUGGUGGAGGAUCAAGUGGUGGGAUACAUCCACAAGGGUUUUACCGAACACCUGAGGGACUUCCCUGAUGUUUUUACCAUUGUCUCGGGCAACAAUGGUAAGAACAGUGUGGAGCAUGUGACUCUCCACUCAUCGCUCAGGACUCCAAAAGAUCGAACAAUCGCCAUCGGAGAUGUCAUAAAAGGCCUAGGGGAACUCAUUCCUGGUAUACGAAAUGAGCUCUAUCCAGUAACCUCAUCUUACGGCAUGCCUGUGUACUUCUCUCUGGAACGUGCUGCUGCUCCCUACUUUGGUAUAAAGGUUUAUGGUGUUCAUAUGAAUGGGUACAUCGAGAAGCAUGGUGAAAAAUCUCUUUGGAUUGGUAAGAGAAGUGAUGUGAAGCAAACUUACCCUGGGAUGCUAGAUCAUCUUGUUGCUGGUGGCCUGCCUUACGGAAUCUCCUGUAAAGAGAAUGUCAUCAAGGAAUGUGAAGAGGAAGCAGGAAUACCAAGAUCCAUGUCAACCAACGCUACUUCUGUUGGAGCCGUUUCUUACAUGGAUAUCAAUGGGUUUAGAUACAAAAGGGAUGUUCUGUUCUGCUAUGACCUUAGACUUCCUUUAGAUUUCGUUCCUAAUAAUGAAGAUGGAGAAGUUGAUAGCUUCAGGCUAAUCCCUGUACCACAUGCUGCAAACAUUAUACGGAGGACAGAUUUUUUCAAGUCAAACUGCAACCUUGUGAUCAUUGACUUCCUCUUCCGUCAUGGGUACAUAAACCCAGACUGUAAUGGAUACCUGAAGCUGCUGACAAGCUUGAGGAGUGGUGAUUGUUCCUAGGGCUUGCAGUUCGCUGUGCAAACAGAAGAAUCAGAUUACCAGCAUUAAUCGUUGAUUUCUUGGAGUAAGCUAGAUGGCUGUCCAUCAAAAUCAGAAUAUUAACUUUAAAGCCUGAAGCUGAACAACGCGAGCGCUCUCAUCCAGCAGAAUGGAACUUCGAGAUCACUCUUUAUCAAGCUGCAUUGAGCUUCGACUAAUCAAGCCAUAUGCUAGACAACGUGCUCAUUUGUUUUAGCAUCAAAUGCUUAAUGUUUUUUCAUAGGUGCAUAUAUAAGUAGCUUUAAUAAAUAAAUACUGCUCCCUUCGGCUCAAAUUAAUUGACGCAGAGACUAUACAAUGACCAUUUUUACCAAAAACUUCAUAUAUUCAAAAUCUUAACAGAAAA